rnacentral:rRNA from 1 species
GGGUUGUGAGGUUAAGCGACUAAGCGUACACGGUGGAUGCCCUGGCAGUCAGAGGCGAUGAAGGGCGUGCUAAUCUGCGAUAAGCGUCGGUAAGGUGAUAUGAACCGUUAUAACCGGCGAUACCCGAAUGGGGAAACCCAGUGUGAUUCGUCACACUAUCAUUAACUGAAUCCAUAGGUUAAUGAG